AUUGAACGCUGGCGGCAGGCUUAACACAUGCAAGUCGAGCGGGGUGAUGGUGCUUGCACUAUCACUUAGCGGCGGACGGGUGAGUAAUGCUUAGGAAUCUGCCUAUUAGUGGGGGACAACAUCUCGAAAGGGAUGCUAAUACCGCAUACGUCCUACGAGAGAAAGCAGGGGAUCACUUGUGACCUUGCGCUAAUAGAUGAGCCUAAGUCGGAUUAGCUAGUUGGUGGGGUAAAGGCCUACCAAGGCGACGAUCUGUAGCGGGUCUGAGAGGAUGAUCCGCCACACUGGGGCUGAGACACGGCCCAGACUCCUACGGGAGGCAGCAGUGGGGAAUAUUGGACAAUGGGGGAACCCUGAUCCAGCCAUGCCGCGUGUGUGAAGAAGGCCUUAUGGUUGUAAAGCACUUUAAGCGAGGAGGAGGCUCUUUUGGUUAAUACCCAAGAUGAGUGGACGUUACUCGCAGAAUAAGCACCGGCUAACUCUGUGCCAGCAGCCGCCGUAA
rnacentral:rRNA from 1 species